GACGAACGCUGGCGGCGUGCUUAACACAUGCAAGUCGAACGGAAAGGCCCUGCUUUUGUUGGGUGCUCGAGUGGCGAACGGGUGAGUAACACGUGAGUAACCUGCCCUUGACUUUGGGAUAACUUCAGGAAACUGGGGCUAAUAUCGGAUAGGAUCUCCUGCUGCAUGGUGGGGGUUGGAAAGUUUCGGCGGUUGGGGCUGGACUCGCGGCUUAUCAGCGUGUUGGUGGGGUAGUGGCUUACCAAGGCUUUGACGGGUAGCCGGCCUGAGAGGGUGACCGGCCACAUUGGGACUGAGAUACGGCCCAGACUCCUACGGGAGGCAGCAGUGGGGAAUAUUGCAAAAUGGGCGGAAGCCGGAUGCAGCAACGCCGCGUGCGGGAUGACGGCCUUCGGGUUGUAAACCGCUUUCGCCUGUGACGAAGCGUGAGUGACGGUAAUGGGUAAAGAAGCACCGGCUAACUACGUG
rnacentral:rRNA from 1 species